rnacentral:rRNA from 1 species
AUUGCACGCUGGCGGCAGGCCUAACACAUGCAAGUCGAGCGGAGCGGCUGACGGGUGAGUAAUGCCUAGGAAUCUGCCUGGUAGUGGGAGAUAACGUCAGGAAACUGGCGCUAAUACCGCAUACUAUCAUAUUAGACUAGGUCGGAUUAGCUAGUUGGUGGGGUAAAGGCCUACAAAGGCGACGAUCCAUAACUGGUCUGAGAGGAUGAUUACUAACACUGGAAUUGAGCCACGGUCCAGACUCCGACGGGAGGCAGCAGUGGGGAAUAUUGGACAAUGGGCGAAAGCCUGAUCCAGCCAUGCCGCGUGUGUGAAGAAGGUCUUCGGAUUGUAAAGCACUUUCAGUUGGGAGGCGUUACCAACAGAAUAAGCACCGGCUAACUUCGUGCCAGCAGCCGCGGUAAUUC